rnacentral:rRNA from 1 species
GAUCCUGGCUCAGGAUGAACGCUAGCUACAGGCUUAACACAUGCAAGUCGUGGGGCAGCAUGGGAGGUGCUUGCAUUUCCCGAUGGCGACCGGCGCACGGGUGAGUAACGCGUAUCCAACCUGCCCUUCACUCCGGCACAGCCCGUCGAAAGACGGAUUAAUGCGGGAUGCAGUCAGAAAGAUGCAUAUUAAUUUGACGAAAAGGUCUUCGGGCCGGUGAGGGAUGGGGAUGCG